rnacentral:rRNA from 1 species
AUUGAACGCUGGCGGCAGGCCUAACACAUGCAAGUCGAGCGGCAGCGGGAAAGUAGCUUGCUACUUUUGCCGGCGAGCGGCGGACGGGUGAGUAAUGCCUGGGAAAUUGCCCAGUCGAGGGGGAUAACAGUUGGAAACGACUGCUAAUACCGCAUACGCCCUACGGGGGAAAGCAGGGGACCUUCGGGCCUUGCGCGAUUGGAUAUGCCCAGGUGGGAUUAGCUAGUUGGUGAGGUAAUGCUCACCAAGGCGACGAUCCCUAGCUGGUCUGCGAGGAUGAUCAGCCGCACUGGAACUGAGACACGGUCCAGACUCCUACGGGAGGCAGCAGUUGGGAAUAUUGCACAAUGGGGGAAACCCUGAUGCAGCCAUGCCGCGUGUGUGAAGAAGGCCUUCGGGUUGUAAAGCACUUUCAGCGAGGAGGAAAGGUUGAUGCCUAAUACGUAUCAACUGUGACGUUACUCGCAGAAGAAGCACCGGCUAACUCCGUGCCAGCAGCCGCGGUAA